rnacentral:rRNA from 1 species
CCUACGGGGGGCAGCAGUAGGGAAUAUUGCUCAAUGGGGGAAACCCUGAAGCAGCAACGCCGCGUGUAGGAUGAAGGUUUUCGGAUUGUAAACUCCUUUUGUUAGAGAAGAUAAUGACGGUAUCUAACGAAUAAGCACCGGCUAACUCCGUGCCAGCAGUCGCGGUAAUACGGAGGGUGCAAGCGUUACUCGGAAUCACUGGGCGGAAAGAGCGCGUAGGCGGGAUAGCAAGUCAGAUGUGAAAUCCUAUGGCUUAACCAUAGAACUGCAUUUGAAACUGUUAUUCUAGAGUAUGGGAGAGGUAGGUGGAAUUCUUGGUGUAGGGGUAAAAUCCGUAGAGAUCAAGAGGAAUACUCAUUGCGAAGGCGACCUGCUAGAACAUAACUGACGCUGAUGCGCGAAAGCGUGGGGAGCAAACAGGAUUAGAUACCCGAGUAGUC